rnacentral:rRNA from 1 species
CCCUUAGAUGUUCUGGGCUGCACGCGCGCUACACUGAUGCACUCAACGAGUUUUCGACCUUGCCCGAUAGGGCUGGGUAAUCUUUUUAAAAUGCAUCGUGAUGGGGAUAGAUUAUUGCAAUUAUUAAUCUUCAACGAGGAAUUCCUAGUAAGCGCGAGUCAUCAGCUCGUGCUGAUUACGUCCCUGCCCUUUGUACACACCGCCCGUCGCUACUACUGAUUGGAUGUUUAAGCGAGGUUCUCGAACUGCUAGUGACUGAUCUUCGGUGAGGUCGCAGUGUGGGAAGUGAUCCUAGCUUUGGUGUCUAGAGGAAGUAAAAGUCGUAACA